rnacentral:rRNA from 1 species
UUAGCAGAGAUGCUUUGGUGCCUUCGGGAACUCUGAGACAGGUGCUGCAUGGCUGUCGUCAGCUCGUGUUGUGAAAUGUUGGGUUAAGUCCCGCAACGAGCGCAACCCUUAUCCUUUGUUGCCAGCGGUCCGGCCGGGAACUCAAAGGAGACUGCCAGUGAUAAACUGGAGGAAGGUGGGGAUGACGUCAAGUCAUCAUGGCCCUUACGAGUAGGGCUACACACGUGCUACAAUGGCAUAUACAAAGAGAAGCGACC